GGAGAGGUGCGAGAGAGGUUGAAUCGGGCGGUCUCGAAAACCGUUGAACCUUAUGGUUCCGGGGGUUCGAAUCCCCCUCUCUCCG
rnacentral:tRNA from 1 species